UACGUAGGGGGCUAGCGUUGUCCGGAAUCAUUGGGCGUAAAGCGCGUGUAGGCGGUCCGGUAAGUCCGCUGUGAAAGUCGGGGGCUCAACCCUCGGAUGCCGGUGGAUACUGUCGGGCUUGAGUACGGAAGAGGCGAGUGGAAUUCCUGGUGUAGCGGUGGAAUGCGUAGAGAUCCGGAAGAACACCGGAGGCGAAGGCGGCUUGCUGGGCGUAGUCUGACGCUGAGGCGCGAAAGCGUGGGGAGCGAACAGG
rnacentral:rRNA from 1 species